UGGGGAAUCUUAGACAAUGGGGGAAACCCUGAUCUAGCCAUGCCGCGUGAGCGAUGAAGGCCUUAGGGUUGUAAAGCUCUUUCAGCUGGGAAGAUAAUGACGGUACCAGCAGAAGAAGCCCCGGCUAACUCCGUGCCAGCAGCCGCGGUAAUACGGAGGGGGCUAGCGUUGUUCGGAAUUACUGGGCGUAAAGCGCACGUAGGCGGAUUAGUCAGUCAGAGGUGAAAUCCCAGGGCUCAACCCUGGAACUGCCUUUGAUACUGCUAGUCUUGAGGUCGAGAGAGGUGAGUGGAAUUCCGAGUGUAGAGGUGAAAUUCGUAGAUAUUCGGAGGAACACCAGUGGCGAAGGCGGCUCACUGGCUCGAUACUGACGCUGAGGUGCGAAAGCGUGGGGAGCAAAACAGGAUUAGAUACCCUGGUAGUCCACGCCGUAAACGAUGAAUGCCAGUCGUCGGGUUGCAUGCAAUUCGGGUGACACACCUAACGGAUUAAGCAUUCCGCCUGGGGAGUACGGUCGCAAGAUUAAACUUAAAGGAAUUGACGGGGUCAUAGCUGUUUCCUG
rnacentral:rRNA from 1 species